UUUGAACUCCAAACAGUCUCACUGGUUCUACAGGAGAUGGUGACGGAGCCUCCCACAGCGGAGCUCACUGCUCCAGGCUGGGUCACUGUGACUUGUCCCCUGGACUCUGAGGACACAGAGACAGAAACAAGCAGCAGCGCGGUGGGUUCGUCAGCUUCAUGUCAGAGGCAGCGAGUCGACAGAGGAGUUAGAAGGUCUGGACUUUACCUGUGAAGCAGCGGCAGAGCAGAGUCCAGACGAGGACGGAGGUGAAGCUCAUGUUUCUGAAGAGCAGGAGGUCUGUGGUCAUGAGGGAGAACCGUCUGUCCUCCCAUCCUCAGCUCCCGGGACUAUAAACUGUCCCAGAGCAGUGGAGCGUGGAGCUGGGGAUGCAAAGUGACUCUAUGGAAAUGCUGUGAUGAUGCUGUUCAUCAAUAAAUCUUAUAAUCAUUAUUUAUCAAAUGGCUGAUCAGGAGGAGUUAACCUUCUCAUCAUGUAGUUUUGAUUUGAUGUUUCAAGACGACUUCUCCUAUUUGAAUAGUCAGAGAGUUGUGUCCUCAGAGGUUUUUGUACGACGGCUCAGUGAGUGUGUAUCACUGUGGUACACGUGUGGUGGAGGAACCAGACUGGACGUUGGAAGUGACGUCCGCCCCAGCCUGACGGUGCUGCCCCCCUCCAGCGAGGAGCUGCAGCAGGGGACGGCCUCGCUCAUGUGCCUGGCCAACAAGGGCUUCCCCUCCGACUGGACUCUGUCCUGGAAGGUGGACGGCAGCCGCGGCGGUGGGGGGGGCUGGGAGGAGAGCAGCGGCCCCGGGGUGCUGGAGAGCGACGGGCGCUACAGCUGGAGCAGCACCCUGAGGCUCCCUGCUGAGCGGUGGAGCAAGGCGGGGUCGGUGACCUGCGAGGCCUCCCAGGGCUCCCAGACCCCGCUGUCAGAGACCCUGAGGAGAGACCAGUGUGCCCAGUCCUGACCUGGGACUCUGGUACUGGUCUCAGUCUCUUCUUGCUUUGAAUGUUCUGGUUCUUUGACCUGUUUCAGAUAAUAAAGAUCUUUGUGUUUGAAUCAAAA